GAAGAUCCGUGAGGUGCCCAGAAGAUCAUGCAGUCAUCAGUCCCACGGAGCAGCCUGCGAGGCUGAGGCUCCUCCCACUGGACCGCCCCCCAACUGGCACCACUGCUGCCCCUGCCCCUACUCUCAGCCUCACGUGACUCUCGGGCAGAAGCACUGGUGGGGCAGCCAGGGCAGCGUCAAGAGUCUGAGCCAGCUGCAGGACAAGUUCGAGCAUCUUAAAAUGAUUCAACAGGAGGAGAUAAGGAAGCUCGAGGAAGAGAAAAAAAAACUGGAAGGAGAAAUCAUAGAUUUUUAUAAAAUGAAAGCUGCCUCUGAAGCACUGCAGACUCAGCUGAG
rnacentral:lncRNA from 1 species